GUCAUCAGAGGAGUCGAUUGCCUACGCAUGCGGAGUUGGGAUUACCAAGCCAUCUAACGGUGAAGAUUUGUUUAAUCAUUUGUGUAAUCCUAUGCCUUGAUGGAGUAACAAGCACUUGCCGUUUUCAGUGGAGCAAUCUAGGAUAAGAGGCGCGUGCAAGUGAGGACAUACUUGCCACGCCCACUGUUCAGGAAAGGGGAAUAUUUGCAGUAUCGCUCAUAAGACAAAAUGAGGUCAAAAUGACUGGUAACUCGCUACGCUUAGAUGAAUAACCGUACCCUCUCGGAAAGGGCAGUGACUCAUGAACCAAACCCGGAAAUACACUCGAUGUUGAAAGAUAGGAUCACAGGGGAAUAAUCGUAUUGAUCGAAGUUUGGAAGAAAAUUGGAUAACCCCCUAGCAGUUAUCGCGAUAAGGAUAAUGUCGAAAGAUCGUUCACCUCCAAAACCCGGAUAUUAUCACACCGAACUUGUAAAUACCCUUUGGGAAGUACCCAACAAAUACAAAAAGCUCAACCCAAUCGGCACGGGAGCUUACGGACAAGUUUGUUCUGCUUCUGUUACCACAACCAUCAAGCAGGUGGCCAUCAAGAAAUUAGCUCGUCCAUUCCAAACGGAGACUCAUGCUAAACGUGCCUACAGGGAAAUACGGAUGCUCAGGCACUUUCAUCAUGAAAAUAUAAUAUCUCUAGUGGAUUUGUUCACUCCAGAUCAGACGUAUGACAAGUUUGGCGAUGUCUACUUGGUGUUGCCUUAUAUGGACACGGACCUGCACGAGAUCCUCAAGCUGCAGUCUCUGUCUAACGACCACAUACAGUUCAUGCUGUACCAGAUUCUCAGGGGACUUAAGUACAUUCACUCGGCUGGCAUCAUUCACAGAGAUCUUAAGCCCAACAACAUAGGUGUAAAUCAAAACUCAGACAUUAAGAUUUUAGAUUUUGGGUUAGCUCGGUCGAGUGCUGAGGAGAUGACUGGGUAUGUUGUGUGCCGCUGGUACCGAGCCCCCGAGAUUAUGCUCAACUGGAUGCACUAUAAUCAGAAAGUGGACAUCUGGUCUGUUGGGUGCAUCCUGGCUGAAAUGAUCACAGGAAAACCCCUGUUUAAGGGCUCAGACCAUAUUGACCAGUUGAACAGGAUACUGCAGCUGACCGGGACACCCAGUGAAGAGUUCAUUGAGAAGAUGGUCAGUGGGGAUGCAAGAAGAUUCAUACGGUCACAACCAAAGUCAAAGAGGAAGAAUUUUUCAGAAUAUUUCCACAAAGCUGAUCCUCAAGCUGUUGCCCUUCUUGAAAAGAUGCUUGACCUUGACCCAGAUUCCCGUAUAACCAUAGAGCAGGCGCUCGCACACCCCUACCUCCGUCAGUUUUACGACCCUGAGGAUGAACCAUCCUCCCCUCACUUUGACAGUUCAUUUGAAGAUCUGAAACAUGACUGUGAAGGAUGGAGAAGGUGUGUAUAUGAGGAGAUCUGCAAGUUUGGUCACUGAAGUCAAACAUAUCAGGGGUUUCUGUCUGUUGACAUCAUACAUCAAUCAACUGGUGCUCUCUCUACACACUUGGUCAUACCACAGCAGAUGUCAGGUCACACUGGAUACAUGGACCCAGUGAAGGAGUGACCUCCAUUGUGGUCAGUGAUGUAAAUACAUACUACAGGAAGGUCAGUACAUGACACAACAGACUCAAAGACAUUAAGUAGUAGCAGCUAAAACAUACUACACAGAUGUCACUGCAGAAAGGUCAUGCCUUCGUAAAGGUCACUGCUGCAAGGUCAAACCACAGUGGAGGUCAUUGCAGUAAGGUCAACAACAGUUGAGGUCACUGCUGCAAGGUCAAACCUCAGUGGAGGUCACUGCUGCAAGGUCAAACCACAGUGGAGAUCACUGCGGUAAAGCUGAAACCACAGUGGAGGUCAUUGCAGCAAGGUCAAACCAUGGUGCAGGUGACUGCAGCAAGAUCAUGUCAUAUUGCAGUGGAGGUCAACAGUGAUUUUGCCAAGAGUACAUAUUGUUGAUAAGCAUGGAAAUAUAUGUUAUCAUAGUUAACAAGCUCUUGACACACGUGAUGUUUUUGGAAGGAUUGAAUCCAGAUACACAUGAAUUAGUUACCAAAGAUGGCAGAAAGUAAAGGCUCUUAGAUCUUCAGCAUAAAUGUGUCUUUGGAUUCAUUUAAUCUAUUACCUGAGACUACAAAAAACCUUGUUUUUCCAAACAGUCUACUUCCAUUUGAACCUCCCAGUUGACAUUACAAUGAAGCUGUUGGUUGGCCAACUUGGUGUAUACAAUAUUUUAUAAUAUAAAUAUGAUUAUAAUA
rnacentral:misc_RNA from 1 species